rnacentral:rRNA from 1 species
AGCGAACGCUGGCGGCAGGCCUAACACAUGCAAGUCGAGCGGCCGUAGCAAUACGGCAGCGGCAGACGGGAGAGUAACACGUGGGAACGCGCCCUUCGGUUCGGGAUAACUCAGGGAAACUUGGGCUAAUACCGGAUACGCCCUUGCGGGGAAAGAUUUAUUGCCGAAGGAACGGCCCGCGUCCGAUUAGUUUGUUGGGGAGGUAACGGCUCACCAAGGCGACGAUCGGUAGCUGGUCUGAGAGGAUGACCAGCCUCACUGGGACUGAGACACGGCCCAGACUCCUACGGGAGGCAGCAGUGGGGAAUAUUGGACAAUGGGCGCAAGCCUGAUCCAGCCAUGCCGCGUGGGUGAUGAAGGCCCUAGGGUUGUAAAGCCCUUUCAGCGGGGAAGAUAAUGACGGUACCCGCAGAAGAAGCCCCGGCUAACUUCGUGCCAGCAGCCGCGGUAAUAC